CACGUAGGGGGCGAGCGUUGUCCGAAAUCAUUGGGCGUAAAGAGCUCGUAGGCGGCUCAGUAAGUCGGGUGUGAAACCCUCAGGCUCAACCUGGAGACGCCACCCGAUACUGCUGUGGCUAGAGUCCAGUAGGGGAGUGUGGAAUUCUCGGUGGUAGCGGUGAAAUGCGCAGGAUAUCGGGAGAACACCAGCGGCGAAGGCGGGAGUUCUCCU
rnacentral:rRNA from 1 species